rnacentral:rRNA from 1 species
AGAACUUAGCAGAGAUGCUUUGGUGCCUUCGGGAACUCUGAGACAGGUGCUGCAUGGCUGUCGUCAGCUCGUGUUGUGAAAUGUUGGGUUAAGUCCCGCAACGAGCGCAACCCUUAUCCUUUGUUGCCAGCGGUCCGGCCGGGAACUCAAAGGAGACUGCCAGUGAUAAACUGGAGGAAGGUGGGGAUGACGUCAAGUCAUCAUGGCCCUUACGAGUAGGGCUACACACGUGCUACAAUGGCGCAUACAAAGAGAAGCGACCUCGCGAGAGCAAGCGGACCUCAUAAAGUGCGUCGUAGUCCGGAUUGGAGUCUGCAACUCGACUCCAUGAAGUCGGAAUCGCUAGUAAUCGUAGAUCAGAAUGCUACGGUCGAAUACGUUCCCGGGCCUUGUACACACCGCCCGUCACACCAUGGGAGUGGGUUGCAAAAGAAGUAGGUAGCUUAACCUUCGGGAGGGCGCUUACCACUUUGUGAUUCAUGACUGGGGUGAAGUCGUAACAAGGUAAGCGUAGUGCU